GCUCCUCACUGCUCCGCUGUUUUUAAUGACAGGGACCCGGCUUCAAGCGAACGGAGGUAUUCCCCCGGGCAGGUGUUAAGGAAAUAUCUGAAGUUAUACCCUUUUCUUGACUUCUUCCACAAUGAGUGAUGUGACAUGGUGACCAUUAAUCAGCUCAUUGAUCCAAGACAGCAGAGGUUCCAUUACUCAGUAAUUACUUUGGGUGGACCAUUCUUAACAGAAACAUUACAUUAUGUAUAUGGAAUGCUGACGUCCUUAUUCUGGAAGGACCUUCUUCUUGUGAUACCAUAUAUGAACCCCUGAAGAAGUCAUUUUUGACGAAAUGCGUUGGGUUAAAUUGGCUACGGUUUCUUAUUCAGUUCAUCAUCACACCCUUUGAGCUCACACCUGCGAAGAUGAGGGUGAUCUUUCCAUCUGUUGAACCUGAUAAAGAGUAUCCUGGCUGCAGCUCGAUGUACUGUUUUAUAAUGUUC